rnacentral:rRNA from 1 species
GACGAACGCUGGCGGCGUGCUUAACACAUGCAAGUCGAACGGAAAGGCCCUGCUUGCAGGGUACUCGAGUGGCGAACGGGUGAGUAACACGUGGGUGAUCUGCCCUGCACUUCGGGAUAAGCCUGGGAAACUGGGUCUAAUACCGGAUAGGAGCCAUUUUUAGUGUGAUGGUUGGAAAGUUUUUUCGGUGUAGGAUGAGCUCGCGGCCUAUCAGCUUGUUGGUGGGGUAAUGGCCUACCAAGGCGGCGACGGGUAGCCGGCCUGAGAGGGUGGACGGUCACAUUGGGACUGAGAUACGGCCCAGACUCCUACGGGAGGCAGCAGUGGGGAAUAUUGCACAAUGGGCGCAAGCCUGAUGCAGCGACGCCGCGUGGGGGAUGACGGCCUUCGGGUUGUAAACUCCUUUCGCUAGGGACGAAGCUUUUGUGACGGUACCUAGAUAAGAAGCACCGGCUAACUACGUG